GAUGAACGCUGGCGGCGUGCCUAAUACAUGCAAGUCGAGCGAACAGAUGAGGAGCUUGCUCCUCUGACGUUAGCGGCGGACGGGUGAGUAACACGUGGAUAACCUACCUAUAAGACUGGGAUAACUUCGGGAAACCGGAGCUAAUACCGGAUAAUAUAUUGAACCGCAUGGUUCAAUAGUGAAAGACGGUUUUGCUGUCACUUAUAGAUGGAUCCGCGCCGCAUUAGCUAGUUGGUAAGGUAACGGCUUACCAAGGCAACGAUGCGUAGCCGACCUGAGAGGGUGAUCGGCCACACUGGAACUGAGACACGGUCCAGACUCCUACGGGAGGCAGCAGUAGGGAAUCUUCCGCAAGGGGCGAAAGCCGGACGGAGCAACGCCGCGUGAGUGAUGAAGGUCUUCGGAUCGUAAAACUCUGUUAUUAGGGAAGAACAAAUGUGUAAGUAACUAUGCACGUCUUGACGGUACCUAAUCAGAAAGCCACGGCUAACUACG
rnacentral:rRNA from 1 species